GUAUGUAAUUGGUUUCUCUUCUACUUUUCAAUGCAGCUUUUUUCCAAAUGUCAAGCAUAAUGAAUGUAGUGAUAGACCUUUUCUUCCAGAAAGCAUAUCAAGGAAGAUGGAGGGUGACCGGAAGAAGACUUUAGCAUGUAGUGACAUCACCACCUGGCACUCGAGCGACGACUAGCUAGCCGUGAUGCGGCGCUGAUGGCGUGGGUUCCGGCCGCCCCGGACGAGGCUGCUAGAGACACACAUCCUCGUCUUGUGUCCUCUCCUCUGCUCCCACUUCCCUGGCACGCUGCCCACCACACUCUUCUGCCAUCUGCCCGCUUAAUAGAUCAGAGAUGAUAGACUGAUC